UUUUCUAUCUGUGAGGUGAAACACAAUAAUCCAAUUGAUAGAUGAUAAACAUAACUAUAGUAACAUAUUAUGUAACGAUCUCAAAUCUAAUGCAUGCAUUUCUUUCCUAUACUUUGCUCUUUAAUAAUUCUGUGCAUCUCACGUGCUCUACAAAGGCAAAUAGAUCUACUAGGUUCAUAACAUAUCAUAUGAGUGUGACCCAUAAUUAAAUUCCAUUAUUGUAGUACUAUGUUUUGUAGUAUGGUGACAAAUGUACGUUGCAUCAAUUAGUGAGACUAUAGGACAAAUUUUUUGGGACACAAUGGCAUUGCCAUAUUUUAGGAGAUUUUCUAAUAGUGCUACUUUGUUAUGGAUGUUGUCGAGGUUGGGUUUCGGAUCUAGAGUCAAGGUAGGUUCUAAAAUUGAGAAUUGAGAUCGCAUCCCAGGUGAGGAGUCGAGGUUGAGUUCUGAAUUUCUUAUCAUGAAUCGGAAUCUAAGGUUGUGGUCGCGUAUGAUGUUAUUAGUAUUUAUCUAGAUUAUAUUUAUUGUAUUAUUUUCAAGAAUAUGUUGACAAGUGUGCGUUGCUUCAAUUAGUGAACAUAGGACAAAAUUUUUGGGACACAAUGACAUUGCCAUGUUUUAGGAGAUUUUCUUCUAGUGCUAGUUUUGCUAAGGAUGUUUUGACACAAUAGGCAAAGAAGAAGCAACAAAAGUGCCAUAAUUGGCGUUGAGAUCGGGUCCCGAAUCAGGAGUCGGGUUGGUUCUCGGAUCGAGAAUCAAGACUAGAUCCCAGGUGAGGAGUCGGGGUUGGGUCCUGAAUCUCAUAUCACGAGUCAGAAUUUAAGACCAUGAUCAAAUAUGAUGUUAUUGGUAUUAACCUAAAUUAUAUCUAUUGGACUAUUUUCAAGUGUAUCUUGACAAGUGUACGUUGCUCCAAUAAGUGAGACUAUAGGACAAAGUUUGGGACACAAUGGCAUUGCCAUAUUUUAGGGAAUUUUCUUCUGGUGCUACAAGAUGUUUUGACAGAAUAGGCAAAGUUGAAGAAGCAACAAAGGGCCAUAAUUGGUGUCGGAGGUCGGUCCCGGAUCGAGAGUCAGUGUAGGUUCUCGGAUUGAGAAUCGAAAUUGGAUCUCAGGUGAGGAGUCGGGGUUGAUUCUUGAAUCCCGUAUCAUGAAUCAGGAUCUAAGAUCGUAAAUCAAGUCUCAUAACAUCAGUAUUUGUCUAGAUUAUAACCGUUGUACUAUUUUUAAGAGUAUGUUGACAAGUGUAAGUUGCUUCAAUUAGAGAGACUAUAGGACAAAUUUUGGGACAAUAUUUGCAAUGAAUGUUCUGACACGGUAGGCAAAGAAGAAGAAGCAACAAAGGGCCAUAAUUGGUGUCGAGGUCAGGUCCUGGGUCGAUAGUCGGGUAGGUUCUCGAAUCAAGAAUCAAAAUUGAAUCUCAAGCGACCAGGGUUGGAUCAUGAAUCCCAUAUCCCGAGUCAAAAUUUAAGAUCGUGGUCGAGCCUGAUGUCAUUGGGUUGGAUCUUGAGUUCAGUAUCACGAGUCGAACUUUAAGAUCGUGGUCGAACCUAAUGUCAUUAGUAUGUACUAUAUUUUUAUUUUGGUUUCUCAUUUGGUAUCCAAUACUCGCAUUAGAGUUCAACUAAUUCAGAUUUGCACUGCGUAAGGUAUGUAUUAUACGUUUUUUUGGUUUUUCAUUCGAUUUUCGAUACCCGCAUUGAAAUUCGACUAAUCCAGAUUCGCGCCAUGUAGGGUCCAUUCGGGGGAAGCACUCCCUACCAAAAAAUUUUCUAUACCCAAACGAGCUUUUACCCUUCUGUCCACACGAGAUUUUUAUUCUCGUUGAGAUGAUCCGAAUCAUUUUUAGAUCAAAUUGGUGUGCUAUAACCCGUAAUUUUUUGGGUGUGCUCGGAGCCCGUGCGUGAAAUAAGUCAAAAUUCGAGGCUUAAAUUCAAGAUAUCUCAUUAAGAAAAGAGAAAUUUUAUCCGUUGCUAUUAGUAUGUACUAUAUUGACAGGUGUAAGUUGCUCCAAUUAGUGAAAGGAUAAGGACAAAAUUUUUGGGACACAAAUGGGAUUGCCAUAUUUUAGGGGAUUUUCUUCUUGGUGCUAGCUUUGCUAAGGAUGUUUGGACAUAAUAGGCAAAGUGGAAGAAGCAGCAACAGAAAGGGCCAUAAUUGGUGUCAGAACAACUACUGUAGUCUAAGAUGGUCCUUGCUAUCUUGUGUCUCAUCAUGCCAUGUCCAUGGUACGGCUUUUUGUUGUUACUUAUAAGUAAGUAGUUGUUGUCGGGAAUAAAUUAUGUUGAAAUAAUUUAUUUUUGGAUUGUUAUUUCACUUUUAUGAAGGAUAAAAAUAGUUAUAUCGCAUUUAUGAUCUUCAACUUUUAAUAUGUAUAAAUAAAUAUUUAAAUUCAUAUAAAGUUAAAUAAGUAGACACACACAUUUUAUGUGGUAUAAUAUACGUAGGAUGUCAUGUAAGAUAAGAAUUGAA
rnacentral:lncRNA from 1 species